GGGUUGUGAGGUUAAGCGACUAAGCGUACACGGUGGAUGCCCUGGCAGUCAGAGGCGAUGAAGGACGUGCUAAUCUGCGAAAAGCGUCGGUAAGGUGAUAUGAACCGUUAUAACCGGCGAUGUCCGAAUGGGGAAACCCAGUGCAAUUCGUUGCACUAUCGUUAACUGAAUACAUAGGUUAACGAGGCGAACCGGGGGAACUGAAACAUCUAAGUACCCCGAGGAAAAGAAAUCAACCGAGAUUCCCCCAGUAGCGGCGAGCGAACGGGGAGCAGCCCAGAGUCUGAAUCAGCUUGUGUGUUAGUGGAACGGUCUGGAAAGUCCGACGGUACAGGGUGAUAGUCCCGUACACCAAAAUGCACAGGUUGUGAACUCGAAGAGUAGGGCGGGACACGUGGUAUCCUGUCUGAAUAUGGGGGGACCAUCCUCCAAGGCUAAAUACUCCUGACUGACCGAUAGUGAACCAGUACCGUGAGGGAAAGGCGAAAAGAACCCCGGCGAGGGGAGUGAAAAAGAACCUGAAACCGUGUACGUACAAGCAGUGGGAGCACCUUCGGGUGUGACUGCGUACCUUUUGUAUAAUGGGUCAGCGACUUAUAUUCUGUAGCAAGGUUAACCGUAUAGGGGAGCCGCAGGGAAACCGAGUCUUAACUGGGCGUUAAGUUGCAGGGUAUAGACCCGAAACCCGGUGAUCUAGCCAUGGGCAGGUUGAAGGUUGGGUAACACUAACUGGAGGACCGAACCGACUAAUGUUGAAAAAUUAGCGGAUGACUUGUGGCUGGGGGUGAAAGGCCAAUCAAACCGGGAGAUAGCUGGUUCUCCCCGAAAGCUAUUUAGGUAGCGCCUCGUGAAUUCAUCUUCGGGGUAGAGCACUGUUUCGGCUAGGGGGUCAUCCCGACUUACCAACCCGAUGCAAACUACGAAUACCGAAGAAUGUUAUCACGGGAGACACACGGCGGGUGCUAACGUCCGUCGUGAAGAGGGAAACAACCCAGACCGCCAGCUAAGGUCCCAAAGUCAUGGUUAAGUGGGAAACGAUGUGGGAAGGCACAGACAGCCAGGAUGUUGGCUUAGAAGCAGCCAUCAUUUAAAGAAAGCGUAAUAGCUCACUGGUCGAGUCGGCCUGCGCGGAAGAUGUAACGGGGCUAAACCAUGCACCGAAGCUGCGGCAGCGACACUAUGUGUUGUUGGGUAGGGGAGCGUUCUGUAAGCCUGCGAAGGUGACCUGUGAGGGUUGCUGGAGGUAUCAGAAGUGCGAAUGCUGACAUAAGUAACGAUAAAGCGGGUGAAAAGCCCGCUCGCCGGAAGACCAAGGGUUCCUGUCCAACGUUAAUCGGGGCAGGGUGAGUCGACCCCUAAGGCGAGGCCGAAAGGCGUAGUCGAUGGGAAACAGGUUAAUAUUCCUGUACUUGGUGUUACUGCGAAGGGGGGACGGAGAAGGCUAUGUUAGCCGGGCGACGGUUGUCCCGGUUUAAGCAUGUAGGCUGAUUGUCCAGGCAAAUCCGGAUAAUCAAGGCUGAGGUGUGAUGACGAGGCACUACGGUGCUGAAGUAACAAAUGCCCUGCUUCCAGGAAAAGCCUCUAAGCAUCAGGUAACAUUAAAUCGUACCCCAAACCGACACAGGUGGUCAGGUAGAGAAUACCAAGGCGCUUGAGAGAACUCGGGUGAAGGAACUAGGCAAAAUGGUGCCGUAACUUCGGGAGAAGGCACGCUGGUGUGUAGGUGAAGUCCCUGCGGAUGGAGCUGAGACCAGUCGAAGAUACCAGCUGGCUGCAACUGUUUAUUAAAAACACAGCACUGUGCAAACACGAAAGUGGACGUAUACGGUGUGACGCCUGCCCGGUGCCGGAAGGUUAAUUGAUGGGGUUAUCCGUAAGGAGAAGCUCUUGAUCGAAGCCCCGGUAAACGGCGGCCGUAACUAUAACGGUCCUAAGGUAGCGAAAUUCCUUGUCGGGUAAGUUCCGACCUGCACGAAUGGCGUAAUGAUGGCCAGGCUGUCUCCACCCGAGACUCAGUGAAAUUGAACUCGCUGUGAAGAUGCAGUGUACCCGCGGCAAGACGGAAAGACCCCGUGAACCUUUACUAUAGCUUGACACUGAACAUUGAGCCUUGAUGUGUAGGAUAGGUGGGAGGCUUUGAAGCGUGGACGCCAGUCUGCGUGGAGCCAACCUUGAAAUACCACCCUUUAAUGUUUGAUGUUCUAACGUUGGCCCCUUACCGGGGUUGCGGACAGUGUCUGGUGGGUAGUUUGACUGGGGCGGUCUCCUCCCAAAGCGUAACGGAGGAGCACGAAGGUUAGCUAAUCCUGGUCGGACAUCAGGAGGUUAGUGCAAUGGCAUAAGCUAGCUUGACUGCGAGCGUGACGGCGCGAGCAGGUGCGAAAGCAGGUCAUAGUGAUCCGGUGGUUCUGAAUGGAAGGGCCAUCGCUCAACGGAUAAAAGGUACUCCGGGGAUAACAGGCUGAUACCGCCCAAGAGUUCAUAUCGACGGCGGUGUUUGGCACCUCGAUGUCGGCUCAUCACAUCCUGGGGCUGAAGUAGGUCCCAAGGGUAUGGCUGUUCGCCAUUUAAAGUGGUACGCGAGCUGGGUUUAGAACGUCGUGAGACAGUUCGGUCCCUAUCUGCCGUGGGCGCUGGAGAAUUGAGGGGGCUGCUCCUAGUACGAGAGGACCGGAGUGGACGCAUCACUGGUGUUCGGGUUGUCAUGCCAAUGGCACUGCCCGGUAGCUAAAUGCGGAAGAGAUAAGUGCUGAAAGCAUCUAAGCACGAAACUUGCCCCGAGAUGAGUUCUCCCUGAGACUUUAAGUCUCCUGAAGGAACGUUAAAGACGAUGACGUUGAUAGGCCGGGUGUGUAAGCGCAGCGAUGCGUUGAGCUAACCGGUACUAAUGAACCGUGAGGCUUAACCUUACAACGCCGAAG
rnacentral:rRNA from 1 species